CUCCCUCAACUCAUCAUUACAGGCUACCCCCAGAGCUCCUUUCCAAUUUAUCUGUGCCUCUCCAAAACUACUCCUACUUCUAAAGUGGAACAUUUUGGUGGGAUAUAGUUUGGGCCUGCAGCAUCGCUGUCAAGUUCAUUUUCAUCAAAGGCCAGAUAGAAAACCUUGAGUUAAGCCACCUUUGAGUGUGUAAUCACACAUUUGUGUUGCCAGGCAUGACAUUCUAAAACUGAAGGCUGACCUAGCACAAUGAACUUCUCCAGUGUCCCUUUGUGUCUAAUGGCAAAAAGUGCGCUCAGUUCCAGAGUUGCAGAAAAUAAGCUGUUGAGAGGGAGAAGGAGAGAAAAUCCCACAUACCUGGGCCACUUAUAGUAUGGAGGUGGAUAAUAUAGCAGUCUUGCAGUUGAGAUUGAAGCCAAAGGGGAAAGCAUGAGCACAGAUUUUGAAGAUGAACUACACCCUGCACUAUGGUUAACCACAUCAACAAGCAAAAAGUCCCCUUGCUUAUAUUAACAGCGAGAUAAUGCUUAGCAUUCUACUUGA